rnacentral:piRNA from 1 species
UUUGUUGAUACAGAAGAAACA